GGGGGCGUCCUGGAUUCGACGGGUAUCGUGGGGCGAUUGCAGCGUGCCGAGGUCCUGACACCUCGCUAAACAUCAGGAAACGCUUCAAAUGCCAACGCUGAGUACGCGCUGGCGGCGUAAGGCUUAACCGCCUUAUGCUCCUGCCCGAGAUGGAGCCCGCCUGGGGCGACGCUCGGGUAUCGAAAAGUCAGGCUGGUCGUGCGUGGCGCCACGGCGCGCGCGGCGAGAUUCCACCGGGGCUCGGUCAACCGAAGGUCGCCUGGGAGCCGGCGGUUGACGACGGCCUGAAUCGCGGGCUACGCACGUAGACGCGGUCGCGGAUCGACGCUCGGACCGGGGUUCAAUUCCCCGCGCCUCCACUG
rnacentral:tmRNA from 1 species